ACUAGGCAUGGUGGCGCGUGCCUGUAGUCCCAGCUACUUGGGAGGCUGAGGUGGGAGGAUCACUUGAGUGCAGGAGUUCUGGGCUGUAGCACGCUAUGCCAAUCGGGUGUCCACACUAAGUUCAGCAUCAAUAUGGUGACCUCCCAGGAGUGGGGGACCACCAGGUGGCCUAAGGAAGGGUAAACCAGUCCAGGUCGGAAAUGCAGCAGGUCAAAACUCCUGUGCUGAUCAGUAGCGGGAUCUCGCUUGUAAAUAGCCACUGCACUCCAGCCUGGGCAAUAUAGUGAGACAUCGUCUCUU
ensembl:misc_RNA Metazoa_SRP Metazoan signal recognition particle RNA